rnacentral:misc_RNA from 1 species
GAUGGGAGUUCCUGAAUACAUUGUUCUCCGUUUCAGAAGCUGUGGCUUACAUGCAGAUGGUUGACCGAUUGGAUGAAGGAGCUAUAGCAGCAGAACUUGGUCCGCUUGAUUAUAAAGGACUUUACAAGGCUGUUGGGAAGGCUCUGUUUCGGGCACAUGUAGAAGGCCAGCUUAAGAGUGAGAUAAUGUCAAAGCCUGAAUUGUUUGUGGAACCAGACCCAGAAUUGCCUUUAGCACUUUUAGAUCAAAAGGAGGCUGGUAAAAAGCUUCUGCUUAUUACAAACUCUGAUUAUCAUUACACAGACAAAAUGAUGAAGCAUUCCUUUAACAGAUUCCUCCCAAAUGAUAUGGACUGGCG